rnacentral:rRNA from 1 species
CGGGAGGCAGCAGUGGGGAAUAUUGGACAAUGGGCGAAAGCCUGAUCCAGCCAUGCCGCGUGUGUGAAGAAGGUCUUCGGAUUGUAAAGCACUUUAAGUUGGGAGGAAGGGCAGUAAGUUAAUAUCUUGCUGUUUUGACGUUACCAACAGAAUAAGCACCGGCUAACUUCGUG